GUGGUAUAUUUUUAGGAAACGAAACCGAGAGGCACUGAGACGGAAUACUAAGCGACAUGAUCCUUUCAGACACGAUCUGUACUGCACAGGAAUAAAAGAUGAGCAUGACAGCACAGAGGACAAUGGCUUAAAGCUCCUCUAAAACAGCUUUUAAAGGCACUUUCACGAGUCCGUACUUUAAUGAACAUUGCCACAUUGAUAUAACAGCAGUCUGCUACUGUACACCUGCGGAGGGAGAAUCCAGGAAUAAAUCCUGAAACAAAUACACUCUCUAAUAAAGCAUGUUCUGUCUGCAAUGCACUGUACACCUUAUUACAAAAAAAAAAAAAAAAAAAAAAAGAGAGAGAGAGAGAGAACCUACUUUAAAAUGUUAU